rnacentral:rRNA from 1 species
AAUCUUGCGCAAUGGGCGAAAGCCUGACGCAGCCAUGCCGCGUGAAUGAUGAAGGUCUUAGGAUUGUAAAAUUCUUUCACCGGGGACGAUAAUGACGGUACCCGGAGAAGAAGCCACGGCAAACUUCGUGCCAGCAGCCGCGGUAAUACGAAGGGGGCUAGCGUUGCUCGGCAUUACUGGGCGUAAAGGGCGCGUAGGCGGAUCGUUACAGCAGGGUUGAAAUCCCGGGGAUCAACCUCGGAACUGCCCUUGAUACUGGCGAUCUUGAGUAUGAGAGAGGUAUGUGGAACUCCGAGUGUAGAGGUGAAAUUCGUAGAUAUUCGGAAGAACACCAGUGGCGAAGGCGACAUACUGGCUCAUUACUGACGCUGAGGCGCGAAAGCGUGGGGAGCAAACA